CGGAGUGUAGCUCAGCCUGGUAGAGCACUGUCUUCGGGAGGCAGGGGCCGUGAGUUCGAAUCUCGCCACUCCGACCA
rnacentral:tRNA from 4 species